rnacentral:rRNA from 1 species
ACGCGAAGUUUCCUUCGGGAAGCGAGUAGAGUGGCGCACGGGUGAGUAACACGUGGAUAACCUACCCUAUGAUCUGGGAUAACAUUUCGAAAGGGAUGCUAAUACCGGAUAAGCCCACGAUUUCUUUGGAAGUUGAGGGAAAAGAUUUAUUGUCAUAGGAUGGGUCCGCGGUCCAUUAGCUAGUUGGUGGGGUAAAGGCCUACCAAGGCGACGAUGGAUAGCUGGUCUGAGAGGAUGAUCAGCCACACUGGAACUGAGACACGGUCCAGACUCCUACGGGAGGCAGCAGUGGGGAAUUUUGCGCAAUGGGGGAAACCCUGACGCAGCAACGCCGCGUGAAGGAUGAAGGCCCUUGGGUCGUAAACUUCUGUCAGAGGGGAAGAAAUGCCCGAAAGGGAGCUGACGGUACCCUCAAAGGAAGCACCGGCUAACUCCGUGCCAGCAGCCGCGGUAAUACGGAGGGUGCAAGCGUUGUUCGGAAUUAUUGGGCGUAAAGAGCAUGUAGGCGGACUGUUAAGUCUGGUGUGAAAGCCCGGGGCUCAACCCCGGAAGUGCAUUGGAUACUGGCAGUCUUGAGUAUGGGAGAGGAAAGUGGAAUUCCGAGUGUAGGAGUGAAAUCCGUAGAUAUUCGGAGGAACACCAGUGGCGAAGCGGCUUUCUGGACCAAUACUGACGCUGA